rnacentral:lncRNA from 1 species
CUAUUGUUAGGUCUGACAUCACAUUACAUGUGUGAUCUAAACAAUGUGGGGCUUGCUGGCAGUGAAGCCCCCCAGGAAACGUUCUAGUCUUGUGGAGCCAGAAUCUGCAAUGGUCACAUUCCCUACAUUACUAAAGAAAAAAAACUGGCUUGUCAACCUGACCACCCUUAGUAGAAGACAGGAAUGGGGCCUGCAUGACUACUUCCAGAAUAAAGAUUUACUUCUUCACCAGACUGCGAUGCAAUCUGAUACUACACGCACACACCAUUACCACUCUAAUGAGGAGCCGAAAAUAGAAAAGCCAAUAGGAAAAAAACUACAGAAAGGGAUUAAUAAACAACUCCAUAGG